CCUACGGGUGGCAGCAGUGAGGAAUAUUGGUCAAUGGACGCAAGUCUGAACCAGCCAUGCCGCGUGCAGGAAGACGGCUCUAUGAGUUGUAAACUGCUUUUGUACGAGGGUAAACGCAGAUACGCGUAUCUGUCUGAAAGUAUCGUACGAAUAAGGAUCGGCUAACUCCGUGCCAGCCGCCGCGGUAAUACGGAGGAUUCAAGCGUUAUCAGUAUUUAUUGGGGUUAAAGGGUGCGUAGGCGGUCGGAUAAGUUAGAGGUGAAAUCCCGAGGCUCAACUUCGGAAUUGCCUCUGAUACUGUUCGGCUAGAGAGUAGUUGCGGUAGGCGGAAUGUAUGGUGUAGCGGUGAAAUGCUUAGAGAUCAUACAGAACACCGAUUGCGAAGGCAGCUUACCAAGCUACUUCUGACGCUGAGGCACGAAGGCCAGGGGAGCGAAAGGGAUUAGAUACCCGAGUAGUC
rnacentral:rRNA from 1 species